AUGAGAUAUGAGGAUGAUUAUCCAUCAAUUCUGCAAUAGAAUGAUGAUUACAAACAUGCACUACCAUCUGAUCUCGU